GUGUUCCCAUGUUUCCAUGAGGGCGUGAUUUACCAGGAGGGCGAUGAAAGGAAAGAAGACUGCAAUACCUGUUACUGUACGAGCGAUGGAACCUGGGUGUGCACAAAGAUUCUGUGUGGGGAUACAGUUAUCGAGGCAGUCGAGCUCGAGGCUACCGCUGAAAGACUGACAAUAGGCUGAGCUAACACUUGAUUGAAUUCAUCUAUUUAAGUCAUCCUUUAAUCGGCAAACCCCUUCUUCGCAAAUAAACUAUACGAUCAAUAACUAUGGCUGGUUACGACAGCUAAUUAAUAUUCAAUAAUCGUUCCUUUGAAUUUAUUCAAAUAAACUCGGCCUGUAAAUAAU